UACGGAGGGGGCUAGCGUUGUUCGGAAUUACUGGGCGUAAAGCGCACGUAGGCGGCUCUUUAAGUCGGGGGUGAAAUCCUGGAGCUCAACUCCAGAACUGCCUUCGAUACUGUAGAGCUUGAGUUCGGGAGAGGUGAGUGGAACUGCGAGUGUAGAGGUGAAAUUCGUAGAUAUUCGCAAGAACACCAGUGGCGAAGGCGGCUCACUGGCCCGAUACUGACGCUGAGGAGCGAAAGCAUGGGGAGCGAACAGG
rnacentral:rRNA from 1 species